GGAAAACAUGGAGUGUCUAGAAGUGGUGUCCAAAUUUGUAGGAAAACUCGACGUUUCUGAAGAAAAAUAAGUUCUUUUGGAAAAUCUUGGGAUGCUGAAAGACUUGCUGAUUGAAAAGAUUUGCUUAGUCAAAACAAAAUUUAGAGAAAAUAUCGUCAAUGACUGAUAUCAGUUUUUCUACAUUGAAAAGAAUAAAUAUUGAGGGAAAAGCUAACCAUGGUAUCUUCUGUACUCCAGGGAACAAAGGAUCAGACAAGCCCACAAGAUAGAGCUAAUCUGGAGCUCAGCAAAGAGAAGAGUCACAAGCAAAAAUUUUGGCAUACCAGCAGCUGACCUUGAAAAACUUAUUCAGGAAGCUUUUGACAGCAUAACACCAGAGCUUUAGAAGAAAAUGACUCAUCAUGUGCUCAAUAUUGAAGCUCAGUGUAAAACCAGAAACAGAAUAAUGGAAGAACUUGAAUCGUUUAUUUUAAGUGUGUUUAAUGAUGAUGACUCUGACAGUAGUUCAGAAUCAAUGGACGCUGAGUUUCUAGAAUCCGAUUUUGAUUAUAGUUCCUAAUAAAGUACAAAACCUUCUUAAUUUUACAUAAUUUUAAAUUAAAGGAAAAAUGGAAAAAUUCACAUAUUAUUUGCAGAUAAAAAAUAACUUCUUAAUUUUACUUAAAUUUUUCCUUGCACAACAUAAUUAUUAGGCUCAUUCACUACAGAGAGUGCUCUGCUCUCGGUCAAUCGGUCAAAUGAACUAGUUGGUCUUUUAGUUCCUUUAGAUCGGUGGUUAUUGGGAGUCAGGGAUGAUUUAGGUCUGAUACAUUUCAUUCCAGACUCCUUUUACAUAUGAUAUUUUUCCAAUCUUUGGUAACUGAAUAUAAUUCCAAGUUUUAGUACCUAUAAUAUUAUCCAAGUUAUAUUUUAUAUAGAAAAUAUUUAAUUUUCCUGCAUAGAUUUAGACCUUAAACAUUCCUUUCAUCUCUUUCACACUUGUGCGAAUGGCAUUUUUUACUGUUUCGUUCCGCCUGUUAUCCAGUUCACUCGGUCAAGCGCUCUCCGAUCCCACUGAACUAUAGGACCUAAUAAGGACCGAUUAAGACCGUGCAAGAUUUAGUUCCUUUCGGUCAUUUAUGGGAUUUCAUUCCUAUCAGUACUUAGCUCAUGACCGACACAAGCCUACAACGUAUCAGCAUUGCGAUACAACGAGCAAAUGUCUCCAGCAUCCUUGGUACAAUGCCUAAAUGGCGUAGCUAUUGUAGACUAGGCUAGUUCUUAAUUUCAUUUCAUUAUGAUUUUAUUUAUUAUUGUAGAGAAAUAAAUGAUUAUGACAUUUUA